UCCAGUCUCUACUGUUGCUUCUGAGUCUGCUUUUAGCACUGCUGGAAAGGUAAUAAGUCCACAUCGCAAUAGACUUCAUUCAGGUACAUUGGAGGCAUUAAUGUGUUCUCAAAAUUGGUUAUGGGCUGACCUAAAAGGUGAAGAGUCUUGUUCGACAAUCUAUGAUGAUAAUGAUUCAGAAGAUAUUGAUAAUUGAUGACAUGGAUUUGAGUUUCACUGUCCAACCUUGAUGUUUGACAUUUGGUUUUGGGAGGGCCAUUUCUACCACACAUUGAGCGCAUUCUUCGUGAUAAAGCAUCGUCAAUGUGUUCACUGGUAGUAUCAGCUACUGAUGCUGGAAUCAGAGCUACCAUAAAGGGACUGAAUUUUAAUGAUAAACCUUGUCAAGCUACCAUAAAGUGGGCCAUUAUCAAUUGUUUUCUUAUUUCUUCAAACUUCAUAGUGUGAUGGAAUUGGCAAUGUCAAUUUAUAAAACAAUGAUUUGGACAUUUAAUUAUACAUAUUUUAUUUUAUAUUA